rnacentral:lncRNA from 1 species
ACCAAAAAAAAAAAAAUUGAAAAAGAAAAAUACAGCAAUUCACGGAAAUAUACUGAAAUGUACUAAAAUAGUCUGUAAUUCAUUGACUUAGUUUUAACAUCUACUUUUCCAUGCUUGAAUGGGUUAGAUGGAAUUCAUGGAGGCAGAUUUUAUACAGCCAGAUGCCCUUUGCAUUGCCAAACUCCGUUUCCUCGUGAUAUUUGCUCUCAGCUGGGCAAGUUUCUACUGAUGACUAGCAACGAAGGACACCGUGUGCACGACAGUGACGCUCGCUUACAACUGCUGCACAAAGUCAAAACAAGGUGACACAAAUGACACACGUGCAUGUACAACAGGUCUCGCUUUCUCAGUUUUUGUCAACCUAACAGACCUAUGAAACUAUGGCCAGCCUGGAACUAUAGGAGAAGAUGCCAAAAGGGCCCAGUAGUGGAACUGUAUCUGAAAGCAUUUCUUGGAAGCAAACUUCUUAACAACACAGUCAUGCCAGUAAUUAAUGAAUGAAAAUCAUCACCUUGAUUAUUUUGAUGUCUGUUUUGCCUUGUAAAAAGUGUCAGGUAAGCUUUUACUGUACAACAUAUACUGCAGCAUCUCUGUUUUAUGUCAUCUCAAAUAAAUUAGAGGAUCCAAGGUUUAUAUGAUUGGCAGGUAACCACAAAGUUGUGGGGAGGUUUCAUGGUCAAUUCUGAUAUGCCAAAUUCUUGAUUGAUAUUUAAUCAGCCCCAGAAAAAUAAAUUCAACCAAAGCAGGAUUUGAACUCAGUCUAGAGACAUAUGAAUAUCUUAAGCCCUUCAUUUAGCAAUCUUUGAAUCCUGUCAUGUAUUAGCUUCCCUAAAUACUCGUUAUUACUUUAGGUGGACGGACGGAAAUACUGAGAGGAGGGGGAAAUAAACAUUACUGAUCGCCUACCUCUACCCCAGCACCUGAUUGGUACCUUAAUUUGACACAGAAAGGACGAAAGGAAAAUUUAACCUUGAUGAGAUUAGAAACAAAGGAGCUGGCAUGGCUGCGUGGUAAGAAGCUUCUUUCCCAAUCAUAUGGUUCUGGUUUCAGUCCCACUGCAUGGCACCUUGAGCAAGUGACUUUUACUUUAGCCUUGGGCCGACCAAGAUUUGUGAGUGGAAGUGGUAGAUGGAGAAUGAAAGGAGCCCAUUUUGUGUGUGUGUGUGUGUGUGUGUGUGCAUAAGGAAUCCAGGUGAGCGGAUAAGGAGAUAUUUGCAUCAUUACCUGUCUCUCACAUGUGUGUGUGUCUUCGUUCCCCACCACAGCUUGGCAACUAGUAACUUAAUGGUUUAGCAAAAAAGACCGAUAGAUUAAGCACCAGGUUUAAAAUAAAACUAAGUAGGAGGGGGGUCAAUUCUACUAAAAAUUCAAAGCUGUGCCCCAGUAUGGCCACAAUCUAACAAAUGAAAGAAGUAAAAGAAGAAAAUGUUGCCAAGCAUUUUUUUUUUGUUCAAAAGUAAUGAUUCUACCAGUCCAUCAUUUUAAUGUUUCUAAUAGAGUCAGAAAGCCUGAAAUUUUGGGGGCAGGAGGUAAGUUGGUUACACUGACCCCAACACUUGACCAUUUUGUUUCGUUUUAUUGAGCCCAAAAAGGUAAAAAGGCAAAGUUGACUUCAGUGGGAUUUGAACUCAGAACAUAAAGAGGCAUAGGAGUGGCUGUGUGGUAAGUAGCUUGCUUACCAACCACAUAGUUUCGGGUUCAGUCCCACUGCGUGGCACCUUGGGCAAGUGUCUUCUACUAUAGCCUCGGGCCGACCAAAGCCUUGUGAGUAGUUAACCAGGUGAUACACGAAGGAGUCAUUCCCAAUGACUGGUGUAGCAGCAUAAUAGUCAACUGCUACAAAGGUAAAGGUGACGCCCUAGAUACAAAUAACUACAGGGGUAUCAAGCUGUUGGAUCAGGUAAUGAAGGUUAUGGAGAGGGUCAUAGCCCAACUAAUUAGUGAGAGAGUUAGCUUAGAUGAGAUGCAAUUUGGGUUCGUGCCAGGGAAAAGUACUACUGAUGCAAUAUUCCUGGUAAGAUAGCUGCAGGAGAAAUACCUGGCUUUUGUUGACAUGGAGAAAGCCUUCGACAGGGUUCCCCAAUCCCUUAUGGGGUGGUCAAUGAGGAAACUAGGGAUAGAUGAAUGGUUAGUGAGAGCUGUGCGAGCCAUGUACAGGGACGCUGCUAGUAAGGUGAGGGUUGGCAACGAAUAUAGUGAAGAAUUCCGGGUAGAGGUUGGGGUCCACCAAGGUUCAGUCCUCAGCCCUCUCCUAUUUAUCAUAAUCCUCCAGGCAAUAACGGAGGAAUUCAAGACAGGAUGCCCCUGGGAGCUCCUCUAUACUGAUGACCUUGCUCUAAUUGUUGAGUCACUAUCAGAACUGGAGGAGAAGUUUCAGGUGUGAAAGCAAGGAUUAGAAUUGAAGGGCCUUAGAGUCAACCUAGCUAAAACCAAAGUCCUAAUAAGUAGGAAGGUUGACAAAUCACAAACGCCUUCAGGUAGAUGGCCCUGCUCGAUCUGUAGAAAAGGUGUAGGUAGAAACUCUAUAAGAUGCACCAAGUGUAAGCUAUGGACACAUGAGAGGUGCAGCAAUGUCAAAGGAAGGCUAACUGGGAAAAUAGUUUUUGUAUGUGGCAGAUGCCACAUACAAAAACUUGAGAAAAAAUAUAGAGAGAAUGUGUCAGAAAAAUGCAGAACCUGAGGAACUUGGAAUGGGAUAGUGGCACACAUUGCAGAAGAAUACCUCAAGUUGGCACAGGAAGAAUAUAAGAAAUGGAGGCACGACCAGGUUGUAAAAGUUUUACACUGGGUACUUUGCCAGAAAUGGGGAUUUAAAACUGGAAACAUAAGGUAAAAUCAUUGGUUUGAAAGAGUACUGGAGAUGGAGAAAUGUAAGAUUCUGUGGGACUUUCCUAUUCAAAUGGACAAGAAGCUAGAAAAUAAUAGACCGGACAUAAAUAUAGAUAAAGAAAAGCAAAGUUGCUUACUAAUUGGGCUACCAUGCCUGUUUGAUUCCAGGAUCCCAAAGAGGAUGAAAAAAAAACCCCCAAUCACUUUAAAUUUGAAAUAGGAAGAAUUUGGAGCAUGUGAACAGUAAAGGUUGUGCGUAUAAUAAUUGAUGUGCGAGGAACAGUAAGCAAAGAUGUAGACAAAUGGCUGAAGAAGAUUGGGAUAGAAUGCCCUGUAGAGCUCCUACAAGUUUCUCUCUUAGGGACAGCAAGGAUUAUCAGGAGGGUUCUAAGCUCUUGAAAAACUACUGAAAACUUGUGGAUACCUAAGGUUACGGUUAGUAACCUGCUACCCACAUAAAUCCUACCAGAGAUAUGAUCAAACCUCAGUCGUACCAAAAAUAAUAAACAAACACAAAAAUUAUGAUUGAGAACAAAAUUAUAUUCUAAUUUUAAAGAAUAUAAUACUUUAAAAUCAAUUGUUGUGGAUAUGACUGAAUUAUAACAAUUAACAGAGUCCUGGUUUGAAAGUUCCAUGAUUUUGAGGAAUGUGGAACUGACAAAGAAUAGUAACACUUGCCAGGGUCCCACCUAAGGGUUAAUCAGGAUCACACAGAAUUACCACAGGCACCAGGGCAGAUGAGGCCCUCCAGUUCUUUAGUGGUUCGUCUAAGAGAAGGUAGCUAAAUACAAAUCCUACAUCUGGAUAAUCACUGCACUUGUUGCUCCAGUGUUGGUGGAAUAUCCACACACACACUUUUUGUUUACUACCCACAAGGGGCUAAACAUAGAGCGGACAAACAAGGACAGACAUAGGUAUUAAGUCGAUUACAUCGACCCCAGUGCGUAACUGGUACUUAAUUUAUCGACCCCAAAAGGAUGAAAGGCAAAGUCGACCUCGGCGGAAUUUGAACUCAGAACGUAAUGGCAGACAAAAUACGGCUACGCAUUUCGCCCGGCGUGCUAACGGUUUUGCCAGCUCACCGCCUAUAAUAUCCACACACACACACAUGAUGGGCUUCUUUCAGCUUUCACAAGGCUUUGGUCAGCUCAGGGUUAUAGUGGAAGACACUUGCCCAUGGUGCCAUGCAGCAGGACUGAACCCAGAACCAUGUUGUUGGGAAUCAAACUUCUUACCACACAGCCACUCGUACUGUUUGCAUGCUUCAAUCAAUUUUCAGACUAAUCAAACAAUUGGAAGAAUUCACUAAAAGAAUAAUGUCUCUGUCAUUAAGAAGGCAGAUGGCAAAUAAUUCUUUGUUGUUUUUUGUUAAGGUUCACUUUUCCAAGUCUGCCUGAGCAAGACAGGACUGAAGCAGACAUUCUAUGGCGAGAUGCUCUUCCUGCUAUCGGCCUACACUUCUUUUCAAGCAAGGUAAUAUUUUCCCCACAGCUAAACAUGGAAAUGAAUGACACUGCUUGUAUAACAGUAGAAGGCGUGUGGCUUAGUGGUUAAGGUGUUGGACUCCUGAUCAUAAAAUUGUAGUUUCAAUUCCUGGACCGGGUGAUGCGUUGUGUUCUUGAGCAAACCACUCCAUUUCACGUUGCUCCAGUCCACUCAGCUGGCACAAAUGAGUAACCCUGCAAUGGACUGGCAUCCCAUCCAGGUGGGGAAUAUACACGCUGCGGAAACUGGGUAACCGGUGAGCCGAGUAAAAGGUGGCGAGCUGGCAGAAACGUUAGCAUGCCGGGCGAAAUGCUUAGCGGUAUUUUGUCUGCCGUUAUGUUCUGAGUUCGACUUUGCCUUUCAUCCUUUUGGGGUUGAUAAAUUAAGUACCAGUUAUCCACAAGUUUUCAGCAGUUUUUCAAGAGCUUAGAACCCUCCUGAUAAUCCUUGCUGUCCCUAAGAGACAAACUUGUAGGAGCUCUACAGGGCAUUCUAUCCCAAUCUUCUUCAGCCAUUUGUCUACACACUGGGGUCGAUGUAAUCAAUUCAAUCCCUUUGUCUGUCCUUGUUUGACCCUCUUUGUUUAGCCCCUUGUUGGCAAUAAAGAAAUAAGGAAACUGGGUAAUCGGACCUCAUGAGUCAGAAUGACUCGAGAAGGAGACUUUCCCUUUACUUUGUAUAACGGUGAUGCUUAUUUACAAAUAUUGUACUAUGUGAAGACAAACACAUACAAACGUACACAGUAUUGGUGCAGGAGUGGCUGUGUGGUAAGUAGCUUGCUAACCAACCACAUGGUUCCGGGUUCAGUCCCACUGCGUGGCAUCUUGGGCAAGUGUCUUCUGCUAUAGUCCCGGGCCGACCAAUGCCUUGUGAGUGGAUUUGGUAGACGGAAACUGAAAGAAGCCUGUCAUAUAUAUAUAUAUAUAUAUAUAUAUAUAUAUAUAUAUAUGUGUGUGUGUGUGUUUGUCCUCCUAGCAUUGCUUGACAACCGAUGCUGGUGUGUUUACGUCCCUGUCACUUAGCGGUUCGGCAAAAGAGACCGAUAGAAUAAGUACUGGGCUUACAAAAGAAUAAGUCCCGGGGUCGAUUUGCUCGACUAAAGGUGGUGCUCCAGCAUGGCCGCAGCCGGAUGACUGAAACAAGUAAAAGAGUAAAAAGAGAGUAAGAGUAUAUGUGUGUGUGUUUGAGAGGUCAUUCUUGCACUACUGGUAAAAUGUAACCCAGUACAACUUGUGGCAUGUUGGGGCCGUUGGUGAUUAAACUGACGACCCCGCCAGGAUUGCUUGGUGAGACGGGUGAUUUCUGGACAUUUUAAUGGAUGAAAAGCAAGACGUGUCAAAAAGUGAAAUAUACUGAGAAGAUAAAGAUUUGCAAAAGGCAUGGGAGCUAAGAUUUUUCAUCAAGCAAACUGCACGUGACAUUUCCUUCUUUUGAAUCAUGUGCAAUACACAGAAGCGAAAGGUUUGCCUGCAGUCUGUAGGCAUCUGUUGUUUGUGACUGAUGGAGAGGAUUCUGGAAAUGAGGUUUUAACCGACGGAGAUCUUUUAUGGAAGCAGAUUUUAAUUAUUUGAAAGAGGAAGCAACAAACGCAGCAGAGAAUGUUCAUCAAAAGAGUUAACAUUCUAGUUUCAUGUGACAUCAUUCAGCUAUUGAGAGAGAGGGGAGGGGGAGAAAGGAGGGAGGGAGAGAAAGGAGAGAGAGGAGGGAGGGAGGGAGAGAAAGAGAAGGAGGGAGUGGGAAGGAAAGAGACACUUAGCUAGUGAGAAUGACAACUCAGUUACUGAGAGAUACUCAGUUACUGAGAUACAACUCAGAGUUUGAAAGAGAGAGAGAGAGGCAAUAAGCUAUUGAACGAGAGAGAGACACGCACACAGAGCAACUGAAAGAGAAAAACUCAGCAAUUGCGGUGCCCCAGCAUGGCCAUAGCUUGUGAGCUGAAACUAGAUAAAUAAAUAAAUAAAAAUAAUUGAGACACACACACACACUCAGUUACACAGAGAGACGCAACUAUAGAGACACAUGCACACCCAGCUAUAUAAAAAGAGAGAGAGAGAGACUCAGUAAUUGAAAAAGAAAGAUUUACACACUAAGCUAUUUAGAGAAAGUGACACACACUGCUAAUGAGAGAAACAUAAGAGAGAGAGAGACUAAGCUACCGAGAGAGGCACAUGUACUCGGAAGAAUUCAAAAACAAAUUUUACACUUGGGUAUUCAACAUCUGUUUUUUCCCAGCUAGCGUGGAUUAGAUGAUGGGUUGUCUGAAGCAGGAUUUUAAAGACGGAUGCUCUUCCCGUUGCCAGUCUGUAGCUGUUUUUCAAGAAAAAGGAUUUAUUUUUUCUAUUCCAGCUUUCAAAUUUCUGAGCACAAAAUUCACCCGACCCUUUCAAUAAGGAGUUCAAAGAAGGGAGAAACCAUUCUCAUGUGUCACCUCUUCAUUCACUCAAGCUGUGUGAAGGCACGUGGCUUAGUGGUUAGGGUGUUCCACUCAUGAGUGUAAGGUUGUGAAUUCAGUUCCCAGCAACACGAUGUAUCCUUGAGCAAGACAUUCUAUUUGUCAUCGCUCCAGUCCACUCAGCUGGCAAAAAUGAGUCGUACCUGUAACUGAAAGGGGCCAGCCUUGUUACAUUCUGAGCCAUGCCGAAUCUCCAUGGGAACUAAAUUAAUGAUAUGCAUCCCUGGAGUGCUCAGCCACUUGCAUGUGGCAGGCUGUUCCAUUGAUCGGAUCAACUGCAAACCUUGUUGUUGAAACCAACAGGCUGCCAGUCACUCAAGGUGAGAAGGUCUUCUCAACCAAACUAAAUGAUUUGUUCUACCUGGUUUAAAAUCUAAUGUGUGAUUUUUAACAUUGUGGCUCUAAAGGGACCUUCUCUGGAUGAAACACCAAAGCUGAAAUGUGUUUAAACAGCAACAGACACACAUUAACUAUGUGACAUCAAUAAUGCUUACAUUACAAAGCUGCUUUUAAUGCAGAAUUUGAGUUUUGUUUAACUAGUGCAGCACUAAUACAUGUCAGGAGAUAGAGUUUACACUAACUGUAUAUACUUUAGAACAGCAGUUUGAAAUUUUUUUCCACGGGUGAAUUGGGUAUACAGUGCCAAUGAGCUGAAAUAACAGCAAAAUAUCAAUCUGUCAUUCUUGUUCACUUCUGGAGUGAUUCUUUCCCCCUUGUUUUGAAGUAUACUAUUUUUUAACCCACUUUGUCUGAAGCCAAAAUGCAUUUAAACAACACUAUGUGACGUCAAUGGUAUUUAAAUUAAGGAGCUGCUUCUAAUCCUUAAAAAUGUUUUAGCCCGAAGGCAGCGGCCAUGCUGGGGCAAUAAUAAUAAUCCUUUCUACUAUUGACACACAGCCUGGAUUUUGUGGGGAGGUGGACAGUCGAUCACAUCAUCCUUAGUGCUCAACCGGUACUUAAUUUAUCGACCCCGAAAAGAUGAAAGGCAAAGUCGACCUCGGCGGAAUUUGAACUCAGGACGUAAUGACAGGUGAAAUAACGCUAAGCAUUUCACCCGGCGUGGUAAUGAUUCUGCCAGCUCACCACCUUAAUAACAAUAAUAAAAAUAACCAUAAUGAAAACAGUAACAACAGCAACAAUGACAACAACAAGUGCUUCUGGUUACUUCUCACAUAUUUGAUAGAAUACUUCUCACACAAUAGAAUAUGCAGAAAUAAUAAAAACCCCCAUAUCCUAGGCACAUGCAGCUGUACUGAGUUGUGCAGUGAAAGCAUACAAUAAAUAUAAGACUAUAACAACAACAACAAAAGUAGUUAGUGUCAGUACUAGAUUUAUUCCUAAAUAUUAUUUCUUACUUUAGGUUUGUAUUAACAGAUAUUAAAUAAAUAAUAAUCUGGGAUGAAAAAUGAGAAAUGUACUAUGUUAAGAAUAACGUAAAUACAGUGAAGAUUGCCAAGAUCAUACAUAUAUAUAUAUAUAUACACACACACACAUACAUAUAUAUAUAUAUAUGAAAGAAAAAGAGAAAGAAAAAAAUCUUUACCUAAGUCAGGUGAAAUAUUGCAGAGAAAAUAAAUUAAAGCUUAAUAUUUAGCAAACAAAAAGAAAAGUAGAAUGGCAGCAGGGUCAGUGACUUUCUUCUGUGUGAGUAUUUUGAGUUUAAAUGAUCAGAGUCGACUGAAUUUUGCUAAGGAGUCAAGUGAAAUGUACCAGUGGUAUAUUGGGGUCAAUACUGCAGGAGUGGCUGUGUGGUAAGUAGCUUGCUUACCAACCACAUGGUUCCAGGUUCAGUCCCACUGUGUGGCAUCUUGGGCAAGUGUCUUCUACUAUAGCCUUGGGCCGACCAAUGCCAUGUGAGUGGAUUUGGUAGACGGAAACUGAAAGAAGCCUGUCGUAUAUAUGUAUAUAUAUAUAUAUAUGUAUGUGUGUUUGUUUGUGUGUCUGUGUUUGUCCCCCUAGCAUUGCUUGACAACCGAUGCUGGUGUGUUUAUGUCUCCGUUACUUAGCGGUUCGGCAAAAGAGGCCGAUAGAAUAAGUACUGGGCUUACAAAAAAAAGAAUAAGUCCCGGGGUCGAGUUGCUCGACUAAAAGGCAGUGCUCCAGCAUGGCCGCAGUCAAAUGACUGAAACAAGUAAAAGAGUAAAGAGUAUAUAAAAAGAGAAACUAAAUGCAGUGUAAGGAUGUCAGUGACCAGGUUGCAGUUGGUGUGAUGAAAAUUUUGACCCCAUGUUGCAAACAAUAAAUGAUUGGAUGAGGUUAACAGUCUUUGCAUGUUCCUGAGUGGCUAACAUGCAUUUUCCAUGUUGAAAACUAUUGCACAUCAACAGAAACAGUGCUCUAUACUAUAUAACAGAGGACAUGUUUACUCAUUUUUACGAGGUAAAGGCUGAUAGUGACUUCGAAGUUUCAGCUUAACUAUCAACACUGAUGGCAGCUGGUAUGCUGAAACUUCAUAUAUAUAUAUAUAUAUAUAUAUACACCACACACACACACACAGACAUAUAUAUACAUACACACACACAUAUAUAUACAUACACAUAUAUAUAUAUAUAGAGAGAGAGAGAGAGUCACUAAAUGUGACCACGGUGUUAAACAAACACCUACAUUGCUAGAAAUAAGAGCUAAAAUGCUCUAACGCUGUAGUUUACACACAUGAAAACGUAUACACUAACAGGGGGCCAUAAUUGUCCAAAAUAUGCCGACUGAGAAUUCUUAAGAAUUUUCUUUUUUGGUGAAAUAUUGCAACCUGGUGUUUAUAUAAAUAAAUACACACACACACACACACACUAGCUAAAAAGUUGCACUCCAUGUGGACUUUUAAGCCAGCUCUUGCAGACGGCUACAUGGGCAUGCAGGUCAAAACCAAAGAGAUAAAUACCAUGACUAUAAUGGCUAUAUGCUCUGGUGGUGUCUGAGCAGAGGUUAAGGAUGGAUGAGAAUUAAUUCUGUAGUGCAAUCAUUCAAUUGUUCCAGUCCCAAGUUGAAUUCCAGCCGUUGGCCAAUUUGCCCCAAAGUUCUUAUCUCCACAUAUAAGUAGCAAAGCAGGUCUUUUAUCUCACCUUUGAUCUCUGUCAUCUGACAUACACCCUCCAAAAAUGGCUUGAAUCAGCUAAGCUUUACCCACUAGAAAUAUUCAAAUGCCUUUACAUCAAAUCCCAAUGCUGGAUGUUCAAGUACUAAAUGAAGGGCAGAUUUUUAAUCCUGGGAUCAUCCCAAUUCCAAAAAGGUGUAAUAUGUCUAUGUAGAGCAAAUGUAGACUGAGGUACAGGGGUCCCAGAUGGACAGAAUUUCACUUUUAUAUAUAUAUGCUGGGUCAUUCCCAUAAAUAAUGCAGUUUUUUUUUUAUCCUUCUUUCAUUUUUCAAAAUUAAGAUAAAGUUCUUUUUCAAUCUAAAAUAUACUCUCCUUCAUUUUCUACAAUGCUCUUUCAUCUAUCUGGUAGACUUGCAAGGUCCCUCUUCCAAAAUUCACUUGUCCAUGAUGAAAAGUACUCUUCCAGUACUGUUCUGACCUCAUCUGCAGAAUUCAUAUUUUUCCCGUCCAAAUGAUUUUGAAGACUGUGGAAUAAAUGAUAAUCAGAUGGGGGCAAUGCCUAGCAAAUACGGUGGAUGGCGCAUUGUUUCCCAUUCAAACUGCUCCAGCCUUUGGAAUGUUAUCCUCGCUGUAUGUGGCUGAGCAUUACCCUGAUGGAAGAACACCUUUCGUCUUGAAACCAAAGAUGAUCGUUUUUCUUCUAGCAUUGACUUAAGCUGCUUGCAGUAGAUCUCCUUUGUUAUCAUUUAGUUUGGGUUUAAAAGUUCAAAGUGGACUAAACCUUUCAUAUCCUACCAAACAGACAACACCUUACGUGGGUGAAGACCUUUAGACUAGGGUGCCAGUGUCUCUCCUUUCUCUACCUAAUGUCUUCAGCACUUGACAUCUUUAUAGAGAACCCAUUUCUCGUCACCAGUCACUAUUCGGUCAAAGAAAAAAAAGGGUUCAUUCAUGAGACGUGACAGUAACGAAGGGCACACAUUCACUCUCUGCACAUGAUUUGACUUGGAAAGUUUGUAAAGAAACCAUUGACACAAUUUGCUGACUUUUCCAAUGGUAUGCAAGUGUUGAUGAAUGGUUGAAUGACCAAAUCCAAGCUUCUCUACUAGCUCCUCAACAGUUACGAUGGGAUUUUGUUCCACCAGGAUUUGCAGGACGUCUUCAUCAAGCUCUACAGAUCUUCCAGGAUGAGGCUUGUCUUCUAGACUAUAAUUUCCGACUCGGAAUUUCUGGAACCACUGCUGACACUGGCUUACGGUUAUUGUCCGAUCCCCAUAUCCUGCAUAAAUAUUCCUUGCACUUUCCAUUGCAUUGUUGAACUCAUAAAGCAAAAUAUGCUAAGUAUGCUCCUUUGUCACUUCCAUUAUAGCUUUGAAAAAAUAGCUUAAAAUCGAAACACCCCAAAGACCUACACACACCAAACAUUCUAGGAAAGCUAAUCCUUGACAUUAUUAACCUACAUAUCCUGCACACCAUGAAUUCACACCACCACACUCAUUUGCAACAUAAUUUCACACAACUAUUACAGAAAAUACAGUAAAGAAUAAUAUAAUCUCCCCUUAACAGGAGCACUCCGUCAGUUACAACGAGGGUCCCAGCUGAUACAAUCAAUGGAACAGCUUGCUCGUGAAAUUAACGUGCAAGUGGUUGAGCCAUCCACAGACACGUGUAGCCCUAACGUAUUCUCAGAGAUUCAGCGUGACAAGGCUGGCCCUUUGAAAUACAGGUUCAACUCAUUUUUGCCAGCUGAGUGGACUGGAGCAAUAUAAUGAAAUAAAGUGUCUUGCUCAAGGACACAACGUGUCGCUGGGAACUGAACUCAUGACCUUACAAUCAUGAGCCAAAUGCCCUAACCACUAAGCCACGUGCCUUCACAAUCUCCCCAUAUGUACCAUUUUAACCACAAUCAAGCGCUGUGCCUCUAUCACCAUCCUCAUACAGAAAUUUCUUAGUUGCCAGGGUUAUGUGAUGCAUAAGUAGAAAAUCUCUGGAACCUGCAGUUUCCUGAAUGGUGUACUACAAGGAUGUGCCCUCUCACCUGCUCUUUUCAAUCGUAGAGUUGGUAUAUAUUUAUCACCUUUGUGUCUCCUUCUGUCAACCUAUAUCAUUUGCAUUCUUCCUAUCAGUCUCUCUGCCAUUACUCCUGCCCCUACCAUCCUCUGGCACCAAUCACACUCAUACUCUCUUUAUAUUUGUCUAGAAUGAACAGAG